rfam:Asian citrus Psyllid, Diaphorina citri - Florida Strain, whole genome shotgun sequence.
ACCGGCGGUGAUAGCACAUUGUACCAGUUCCUCACGGAUCACUGAAGUUAAGGAACCUUACGCGUGGUUAGUACCUGGAUGGUGACCAUCUGGGGAAUCGCGUGCUGCUGGGU